AGCAGCGUGGCUUAGUGGAAGGAGCACGGGCUUGGGAGUCAGAGGACGUGGGUUCUAAUCCCGCCUCUACCA
rfam:Ornithorhynchus anatinus chromosome 2, whole genome shotgun sequence.